GACGAACGCUGGCGGCGUGCUUAACACAUGCAAGUCGAACGGUGAAGCGCCUUCCUUUUUGGUGGGUGUGGAUGGGUGGCGAACGGGUGAGUAACACGUGAGUAACCUGCCCCCUUCUUCUGGAUAACCGCAUGAAAGUGUGGCUAAUACGGGAUAUUCUGGGUCUGUCGCAUGAUGGGUCUGGGAAAGAUAUUGUUUCGGUGGGGGAUGGGCUCGCGGCCUAUCAGCUUGUUGGUGGGGUGAUGGCCUACCAAGGCGGUGACGGGUAGCCGGCCUGAGAGGGUGGACGGUCACACUGGGACUGAGACACGGCCCAGACUCCUACGGGAGGCAGCAGUGGGGAAGAGUGCACAAUGGGCGCAAGCCUGAUGCAGCGACGCCGCGUGAGGGAUGGAGGCCUUCGGGUUGUGAACCUCUUUCGCCAGUGAAGCAGGCCUGCCUCGUAUGUGGGUGGGUUGACGGUAGCUGGAUAAGAAGCGCCGGCUAACUACGUG
rnacentral:rRNA from 1 species